AGAAUUCCACCAGCUCCCUCUAGUGAUAAUUAGGCUGCGACUAAACAGGUUCUGCUGUGCUCGCUCGUGCGUCGCUGCCUCCCAUGACCUCUGGCUCUCAAAUCUUCCACAGCAGCUCCUGAAAUACCAUUUUCAGGUGACAGGCACCUGCCUACGGCAGAAGACGACAACGCUCAGUGACAGCCCCUGGUGGCACAGCAGCAAAGGCACAAGGCACUCUGCAGCGACGGCAACUGAACUAAGGCAUCGUGCCCUCCAAGGCAAAUCUGAAGGCUUUGGCAGAGCCGGAUUUGAUCUUCAUGGCAGACAAGUAGUCCCGCUCUUGACUCACCAUAAGCACAAAGUCAGAGGAAACAAAAGAAAAAUACUGGAAGUUUCCACUAAAGAAAAAAGGCUCAACUAUGACCAGACAUCCCAAGAAUACUUCACCAAGGCUGCAUUUGCAUAGUUGUGCACGGACACAAGGCUGACCUGCUGAGGCUGGUGAAGAGGUGCAACACCCUCACCUCCUGGACCAGGCCAACACACGUCUGUCAGCCUGGCCUGUCCUGGAAUCUCACAUGUGCUCUGCAGAACGAGAAAACAGGCAGAAGAGGCUGGAACUCCACUGCUGUUCUCCUGUUGCACAAAGAAGGCUUUGUGUGAAACAAAAAUUAUUUCCUUUAGUGAGGCAGAGCUUAACAAGAACAGAAAAUACGUAUUUUUAAAAAUCUGAAAAUUAACUAUCUUGUCCUGUAGGAGUAGUACAGCUUGGACUCUCUGAUCCUCUUCUUUAAGAGUCUUCACGCAUACCAGAACAUGUUUAUUGAAAAUACUUCCUCACUUGCAGUGUAAGUCCUCAGCCAUCUGGAACCAGUCCUGUUCCAAAGCCCAUGCACUUGCACUUGAGUAGAGAGCAGGCACUGCCUUGAGGAUCCACCACAGUAAAUGAUCUCAGUUCUAAUGGGAAGACAUUUUCAGAACCAGAUUUCCUACUGCUCUGAAAUGCAGAAAAUAAAGCUUAGCACCCAUAAAAAUUCUUUCUCAAUUAAAAAUAAACCACUAUAUACCUACAAG